rnacentral:rRNA from 1 species
GACGAACCGAGCGAACGUUGUUCGGAAUCACUGGGCUUAAAGGGCGCGUAGGCGGGCGGUUAAGUCUGCGGUGAAAUCCUCCAGCUCAACUGGAGAACUGCCGUGGAUACUGGCUGUCUCGAGGAAGGUAGGGGCGUGUGGAACUAUCGGUGGAGCGGUGAAAUGCGUUGAUAUCGAUAGGAACUCCGGUGGCGAAGGCGACACGCUGGACCUUUUCUGACGCUGAGGCGCGAAAGCCAGGGGAGCAAACGGGAUUAGAUACCCCGGUAGUCCUGGCCCUAAACGAUGGGUACUAGCUAGUAGAGUUCACAUGGCUUUACUGGCGAAGCAAAAGUGCUAAGUACCCCGCCUGGGGAGUAUGGUCGCAAGGCUGAA